rnacentral:rRNA from 1 species
UACGGAGGAUGCAAGCGUUAUCCGGAUUCAUUGGGUUUAAAGGGUGCGCAGGUGGGCUUGUAAGUCAGUGGUGAAAUGCUGCCGCUUAACGGUAGAAUUGCCAUUGAUACUGUGAGUCUUGAGUAUGGUUGAGGUAGGCGGAAUGUGCAGUGUAGCGGUGAAAUGCAUAGAUAUUGCACAGAACUCCGAUUGCGAAGGCAGCUUACUAAGCCAUUACUGACGCUGAGGCACGAAAGCGUGGGGAGCGAACAGG